UUCCGGUUGAUCCCGCCAGAGGUUACUGCUAUCGAGGUUCGACUAAGCCAUGCGAGUCGAAUGUAGCAAUACAUGGCGUACUGCUCAGUAACACGUGGACAACCUACCCUUAGGAUGGGGAUAAACCCGGGAAACUGGGUAUAAUACCCAAUAGAUCUGGUCUGCUGGAAUGCUUCCAGAUUUAAAACUCCGGUGCCUAAGGAUGGGUCUGCGGCCUAUCAGGUUGUAGUGGGUGUAGUGUACCUACUAGCCUACGACGGGUACGGGUUGUGAGAGCAAGAGCCCGGAGAUGGAUUCUGAGACACGAAUCCAGGCCCUACGGGGUGCAGCAGGCGCGAAAACUUUACAAUGCCGGCAACGGCGAUAAGGGGACCUCGAGUGCCAGGUUACAAAUCUGGCCGUCGCGAUGCCUAAAAAGCAUUGCAUAGCAAGGGCCGGGCAAGACCGGUGCCAGCCGCCGCGGUAACACCGGCGGCUCGAGUGGUAACCGUUAUUAUUGGGUCUAAAGGGUCUGUAGCCGGCCGGGUAAGUCUCUUGGGAAAUCCAGCAGCUCAACUGUUGGGCUUUCAGGAGAUACUGCCUGGCUCGAGGCCGGGAGAGGUGAGAGGUACUUCAGGGGUAGGGGUGAAAUCUUGUAAUCCUUGAAGGACCACCAGUGGCGAAGGCGUCUCACCAGAACGGACCUGACGGCAAGGGACGAAAGCUAGGGGCACGAACCGGAUUAGAUACCCGGGUAGUCCUAGCCGUAAACGAUACUCGCCAGGUGUCGGCCACGGUGCGACCGUGGUCGGUGCCGUAGGGAAGCCGUGAAGCGAGCCACCUGGGAAGUACGGCCGCAAGGCUGAAACUUAAAGGAAUUGGCGGGA
rnacentral:rRNA from 1 species